CUAAGCCCCAUCACAAAAGCAAAAAACACCAGAAUGCCAAAUGAAUCAUAUCUUUAAAUAACCAAAAGAUCCCAGCCCUAUAAUACAAAUCACAAACCCAACUCACAAAGUCCAAGACUGAACAAGCAGCCUAAAGCCUAAGACUAAAGCCGUAAACUGAAACCAGGUCCUAUACCUAAGGAAGACCUAACCUGGCAAACCAUGGGUUGCAGAAGCCACCACUAAGAAGCUAGAUGAGGCACCACAGGGGAUCUCCACCAUUUAAAAGCCAUACGUAAUGAAGACGGCAGCAGCUACCGAGCAAAGAUCCUACAAAGUCUUUGCAAAGCUGGGUCUAAGAAGCGUUACAUCAAGAAAACCAGGGAGCUAAAGACCUUAUUGUAGGCCAAGAAAGUAAAACGCAACUCGGAGAUCAUUAAGGGCAAUAGGGUAAAGCUCCAUGGCAAAACAAGCCAAGGGUCACCUUCAAGGUUAAGGCACUGCACGACCCCAGAGGCACCGCCAUUUAGAAGAUUAACACUUUCAAAGAGAAAUCCACUGAAAUUGGCCCGAAGAAAGGAAGAAUUGUACAUCCAACAUCUCCCUAGAAAUACCACACGCCAACGAGCUCCAACUAUCUACAACCAUAGAAGCAGAAGAUCAAAACAAAAAAUAGCAAACGGGAAAGAUAGAUUACAGAGGAAUACUCUCGCCUUGAAGCUCAAUCUAUCCUCAACCACACACCAAAUAUCUACACCCAACCAAUGGUGGGGAGAGUAAUCCACAAUCAGGUAGUGGAACUUGCUGAAACGGCAGAGGAAACAUCUUAGGCGUUAACAACUAAAAAAACCAAGAUGAGAGAGUUACUCUGUCCCAAAAAGCUUAGAGAGCUCUUCUCGGCAAUGAAAUAAGGGAUUGCAACAAUAUACAUUUGAUGUAGGUGACAUUAAAUUACAAGAUGGAUAAUUGAUAUAUUCCUUUUGCCCAUUUCAUAUUGACUAAAAAAUUGAGCAUUUUGAUGUGAUCGG
rnacentral:misc_RNA from 1 species